rnacentral:rRNA from 1 species
UACGUAGGGGGCAAGCGUUGUCCGGAUUUACUGGGUGUAAAGGGUGCUCAGGUGGUUGUGUAAGUCAGGGGUGAAAUCCUGGAGCUUAACUCCGGAACUGCCCUUGAUACUACAUAGCUUGUGUACGGAAGAGGCUGAUGGAAUUCCUGGUGUAGCAGUGAAAUGCGUAGAUAUCAGGAAGAACACCAGUGGCGAAGGCGGUCAGCUGGUCCGUUACAGACACUAAAGCACGAAAGCGUGGGGAGCAAACAGG